rnacentral:rRNA from 1 species
AACAGGGAUUACCUCAGUAACGGCGAGUGAAGCGGUAACAGCUCAAAUUUGAAAUCUGGGUCUUUUAGGCCCCGAGUUGUAAUUUGUAGAAGAUGCUUCGGGUGCAACUCCGGUCUAAGUUCCUUGGAACAGGACGUCACAGAGGGUGAGAAUCCCGUAUGUGAUCGGUGGCUUGUGCCUGUGUGAAGCUCUUUCAACGAGUCGAGUUGUUUGGGAAUGCAGCUCAAAAUGGGUGGUAAAUUUCAUCUAAAGCUAAAUAUUGGCCAGAGACCGAUAGCGCACAAGUAGAGUGAUCGAAAGAUGAAAAGCACUUUGGAAAGAGAGUUAAACAGUACGUGAAAUUGUUGAAAGGGAAGCGCUUGCAACCAGACUUGCGCGUUGUCGAUCAUCUUGGGUUCUCCCUAGUGCACUCGACCUCGCUCAGGCCAGCAUCGGUUUUGGUGGUUGGAUAAAGGCCGUGGGAAUGUAGCUUCUUUCGGGGAGUGUUAUAGCCCACGGUGCAAUGCAGCCUACUAGGACCGAGGACCGCGCUUCGGCUAGGAUGCUGGCGUAAUGGUUGUAAGCGGCCCGUCUUGAAACACGGACCAAGGAGUCUAACAUCUAUGCGAGUGUUUGGGUGCUAAACCCAUCCGCGUAAUGAAAGUGAACGGAGGUGAGAACCCUCUAGGGUGCAUCAUCGACCGAUCCUGAUGUCUUCGGAUGGAUUUGAGUAAGAGCAUAGCUGUUGGGACCCGAAAGAUGGUGAACUAUGCCUGAAUAGGGUGAAGCCAGAGGAAACUCUGGUGGAGGCUCGCAGCGGUUCUGACGUGCAAAUCGAUCGUCAAAUUUGGGUAUAGGGGCGAAAGACUAAUCGAACCAUCCACCUUCUAGGUGGUUAAGAGGUGGCUCAGAGUGUCCACCUAGUCCUAGAGCCGAGGGCGACACUGUCCAAUUGUUCGGGGAUGUCCUGUUAACUGCUAAGCUACCGCAGCCUGCUCGAAAGAGGGGUGCGCACCGGGGUAACGACCUAGGGGAUGGUAACAACGCUUAGCUAGGGAUAAUCCGCAGCCAAGUCCUAAGGGCGCACGCCUAUGGAUGCAGUUCACAGACUAAAUGGCAGUGGGUCUAACGUACCGCGUACGUUAGGCUUAAGUUAUAGUCGAGCCGCUGGGAGACCAGUUAGGGGGGGGGGGGGGUAGGAAGAAGAGGGUAGGGGGCUCUUAUAUACCCUAUCCUCUGGAGCCUGUCUAGGGGACGCUCGCGUCUCCGGGGUGCGCGCAGCUGAGCCUGCGCGCCC